UCAGGAUGAACGCUAGCGGCAGGCUAACACAUGCAAGUCGAGGGGCAUCGGGAGUAGCAAUACUUGCCGGCGACCGGCGCAAGGGUGCGUAACGCGUGAGCAACAUGCCCGUAUCAGGGGGAUAAUCCAUGGAAACGUGGUCUAAUACCCCAUAGUAAUUAUGUAAGGCAUCUUAUAUAAUUUAAAGCUUUGGUGGAUACGGAUUGGCUCGCGUGACAUUAGCUGGAUGGUAAGGUAACGGCUUACCAUGGCUACGAUGUCUAGGGGUUCUGAGAGGAAGGUCCCCCACACUGGAACUGAGACACGGUCCAGACUCCUACGGGAGGCAGCAGUGAGGAAUAUUGGACAAUGGAUGGAAAUCUGAUCCAGCCAUGCCGCGUGCAGGAAGACGGCCCUAUGGGUUGUAAACUGUCUUUUGUAUGGGAGCAAUAAGGGCUACGUGUAGUCCGAUGAGAGUACCAUACGAAUAAGCACCGGCUAACUCCGUGCCAGCCGCCGC
rnacentral:rRNA from 1 species